rnacentral:rRNA from 1 species
GAUCAUGGCUCAGGGUGAACGCUGGCGGCGUGCUUAACACAUGCAAGUCGAGCGAUGAAGUUUCCUUCGGGAAACGGAUUAGCGGCGGACGGGUGAGUAACACGUGGGUAACCUGCCUCAUAGAGUGGAAUAGCCUUCCGAAAGGAAGAUUAAUACCGCAUAAUGUUGAAAGAUGGCAUCAUCAUUCAACCAAAGGAGUAAUCCGCUAUGAGAUGGACCCGCGGCGCAUUAG